rnacentral:lncRNA from 1 species
UGACGUGGCUUCACGUGACCAGGAGCUGACAUGCUGGUGUGUUGGUCCAAAUAGCGGUUCCUCCUCAGCUACCAGCUCCCUGUUUCCUUAAAGGUGGUGUGACUGUGGCCAAAGAAGGUGGAGGAGGACAGGGAGGAAACCCAUCCAGAUCCUUGUAGGUUGCUGUGAAGGUACUGGAGCAGAAGAGUCUCCUGCCUUAAAUAUCUUG